AACAGGGAUUGCUCUAGUAACGGCGAGUGAAGCAGCAAUAGCUCAAAUUUGAAAUCUGGCGCCUUCGGCGUCCGAGUUGUAAUUUGUAGAGGAUGCUUCUGGGCAGCCACCGACCUAAGUUCCUUGGAACAGGACGUCAUAGAGGGUGAGAAUCCCGUAUGCGGUCGGAAAGGCACCCUACACGUAGCUCCUUCGACGAGUCGAGUUGUUUGGGAAUGCAGCUCUAAAUGGGAGGUAAAUUUCUUCUAAAGCUAAAUAUUGGCCAGAGACCGAUAGCGCACAAGUAGAGUGAUCGAAAGAUGAAAAGCACUUUGGAAAGAGAGUUAAAAAGCACGUGAAAUUGUUGAAAGGGAAGGGAUUGCAACCAGACUUGCUCGCGGUGUUCCGCCGGUCUUCUGACCGGUCUACUCGCCGCGUUGCAGGCCAGCAUCGUCUGGUGCCGCUGGAUAAGACUUGAGGAAUGUAGCUCCCUCGGGAGUGUUAUAGCCUCUUGUGAUGCAGCGAGCGCCGGGCGAGGUCCGCGCUUCGGCUAGGAUGCUGGCGUAAUGGUUGUAAUCCGCCCGUCUUGAAACACGGACCAAGGAGUCUAACAUCUAUGCGAGUGUUCGGGUGUCAAACCCCUACGCGUAAUGAAAGUGAACGGAGGUGAGAACCGCAAGGUGCAUCAUCGACCGAUCCUGAUGUCUUCGGAUGGAUUUGAGUAUGAGCAUAGCUGUUGGGACCCGAAAGAUGGUGAACUAUGCCUGAAUAGGGUGAAGCCAGAGGAAACUCUGGUGGAGGCU
rnacentral:rRNA from 1 species